UUAAUAGAAGCCAAAAUAUGAGGCUAUUCACUGUUAAUGAAUAUAUUGAUUUUUCUCCUAUUAAA
rnacentral:tRNA from 1 species